rnacentral:rRNA from 1 species
AUGCAGGGUUCUGCGAAUAGGAAAGUCUCUAUGACGCAUAUGAAUCAUGCAAGUAGCCGCUCCCACAGUGUUCUCACAUGCACUAUUGAGAGUAGGUGGGAGAAGGAUUCCAUAUCUAACACACGGUUUGCACGAUUGAAUAUAGUUGAUCUCGCCGGGUCUGAAAGGCAAACGUCAUCUGGUGCUGAAGGUGAGAGGCUGAAGGAAGCUUCUAAUAUCAACAAAUCAUUAUCAACACUCAGCCAUGUGAUAAUGAGUUUAGUUGAUCUUACACAUGGAAAGAAAAGGCAUGUUCCUUACAGGGACUCAAGAUUGACGUUUCUUCUCCAGGAUUCACUUGGUGGAAACUCCAAGACAUUGAUCAUUGCAAACGUCAGCCCUUCAUUGUGUUCAAGUAAUGGAACACUCAGUACUCUCAAGUUUGCUCAGCGUGCAAGGCUCAUUCAGAACAAUGCGGUUGUCAAUGAAGAUGCUAUAGGGGAUGUGCGUGCUUUGCAAGAUCAGAUACAUGUCCUGAAGGAGGAGCUUGCUGUCAUCAACCUUGAACAUGUGCCUCGAACACAUGGAGCCCUUGAAACUGAAGAGCAGCGCAAAGCUGAGGUUGUUUGUCAUCUAUGUAAGGACAGGGAAUCUGCCAUUUGCGAAUUGCAGAUACUGCGGUCUCAAUUUACCAAGCUUCUGCAAGAAAAGGAAAAUGCGGAAGAAUGCCAUCUCUGGAGUCAAAGAACUAUUAAAGAUUUAAGUUCUGAGGCCCUUGAAUUGAAGUCAGAAAUAAUUGACAAAGAGAAGGGCUAUGAAGCUAGAAUGAAAGAAUUGGAGAUAGAUAUGCAAGAAAAGGAUUGUGAUGCCACAACAUCACUUAUUUUAUGGCAUAAAGAGAAAGAGGUACUUGAAUUUGAGCUCUCAGAGGCAAAAUGUCUUGCACUACAGAAAUCAGUUGAGGCAUCAAUUCUUUUAGCCAAGUUUCAAGAAGCACAGGCAACUAUAGCUGAUGCAGACUCUACAGUCAAGGCACUGGUGGAAUUGAAUGAAAAUGCAAAACAUCAAGCAGAGAAGUACAAGCAAAAGGAAUCUUCAUUUACUAUUGAAAAGGAUGACUUGCUAAGUGAGGUCAGUAGUUUGAAGAUGCUGCUGGAUGUGAAGGAACUAACUUACCUGGAUAUGGAAAAUAAAUUUGGAUCAAGCCUGCUUGAAGCAAAUGAGGUAGCUCUUGAACUGGAAGAUGGCAUCAGACACCUGAAGAAUUCGCUAGCGGAGAACCUUGAGUUUGUUUUGUCUGAUAUUGAAUGGAUGAAGUCAAAACUUCAGCAGUUUGCAGAGUUGGCAAGAGCUUGGUUGGAGGAGAAUUGGUUAGAGAUAAUUGGAAAAGAUUAUGCUGUUUCUGUGUUACACCUCUGCCAUAUGGGGAUUUUGUCGGCGAGAAUUACUGGGCUGCAUGCAGAAAAUGGUCUCCUUCAGCGUGGGAUCCGCGAAUCUGAUUCUUCGAUAUCUAUGCUGCGAGAGCACAAUGAUAAAGCAAAGAAUGAACUGGAAAUGUGUAGUGUUCUCAAAAGAAAGUUACUACUCGACAUCAACAGCAGGUUUUGUUGUAUUGCCAAGAAGGAACAAGAAGCAACUGAACUGAGCUCAAGAUUGGAUUCUUUCGGGAAGAAAGUUAUGCAUUUGCAAGCACAAGAAAAAGCAAUGUUGGCACGGUCAGGUUCCAUGUAUAAUGAGCUAUCCGUUUUGACUGAAGAGAUUGAUGCUACCAACAGGAGUUCUUUGGCAGCUCAAUCCAAAGAAAAAGAAGAGCUGCAUAACCAGUUGGACAAAGCUUUGUUUCUCAAUAGAAUGUUAAAGGACACGAUGCUUAAGGUUGUGAGUCUGCCUGAAGUACACAGUGGUAUACCUGCAAAUGAUAUUAACGGGUGCAAUGAAUUUGAGUUGUGCAGUUGGCUUGUAAACUACCACCACGAGUCGGUUAUGAUCAAUACAAUUAAAAAUGAUAUUGAAUCUUUUGUUUUUGCUUCAGAAUUGGAGCAACACAAGGUACAACUGCAAAAACAGAACCUUAUGUUUACUGAAGUACUUGAACGGAUGAAGACAGAAGUAACUUUGUGGAGAGUUGACCAGGAUUUGGGCAGUGUUGCAAUUUAUGAUUUACAUGAGGAGAACAGUAAUAUAAUGAUUCAUUUGAAGAACCUGAAGCGGGACAAGGAUGAAGUUAUGGAAAGCCUACUUGCAAUGAGCAAGGAAAACCCAAAACUUAGUUAUGUAAUUGACUCCUUAGAGUCCAACAUCAGAUCCUUGCAAACAGAUCGAGAUGGAAAAGCCAAAGAUCUUAUGGAGUUGCAAUGCUCCCAUGCAGCCUUAUGUAAAGAGCUUGAGUUGAAAGCCAAGGUCAUUAAACUCGGAAUUUCAAUUGAAAAUGCUUUGAAGUCAGAGAAUGAUUCACUGAGACAUGAAAUGCUACAUAUUCUGCGCAAGGACAGCAGGAUGGUUGAUUUGGUUUCUAAUAUUGAUAUGGAGAAGUUAUCUGUCUCCAUUCAAGCAUGUUUGGAACAAAUUACUGCUCAAGUACAAAUGUACAUCGAUGAACAAUCAACCAUGAUGAUGAAGUUGUCCAAUGACUUAAACUUGGUUCAAUUGUCUGUUGAGGAAUUGAGCACCCAUAAUUCCUCUUUACAGUCUGAACUAGCUAGGAAAGAUGAAUUGGCAAAGGGCUUGUCAUUUGAUCUUAGCAUACUACAGGAGUCAGCAUCUGUUGCAAAAGGUCAAGCAGAUCAACUUGUUGCGUUGGCUGAAGCAAUUAAAUCAUUAGAACCUGAGGUUGCUUCUAAAUCACAUGAUCUUGAUAAUCUUGUUUCUGGAAGCCAGCCACUAGAAGCUCAAAUCAUGAAGAGUAAUGAAAAGAUUUCGGUGCUAGAGGAGCAACUAGCAAGUACAGUUGGUGAACUAAAUGCAGUUUCUGUGGAGAACACUGAAUUGAGAUCUCAGCUCAACCAUAUUGAACGGAUCAGUUACUCUAGGAAAGAGGAGUUGGCCCAUAGAAGUAAUUCCACUGAAAGAAUGGAAGAAGGGUUGAUUGAGCUGAGAAAUUUACUUGAUGAAAGGAACAACUUAUUUCAAAACUUGCAAAAUGACUUCUCCAAGCUUUCCUACGAGAAACAAUACUGUGACUCUCAGGUGCUUAUGUUGAGAGAGAAGCUGGAGAUGGCUCAGGCAGUGGCCGAAAAAAAUGAAGCAAUUGCUAUGGAUGCUCGACAGAUAGCGGAUGAAAGGAAGACAUAUGCUGAAAAGAAGGAUGAAGAAGUAAAACUAUUGGAGAGGUCAGUUGAUGAUCUUGGAACUGAUGUAUGUGCUGUGGAGAACCUGGUGCGCGACAUCAAGAAGGAAGCAGAACGACAAAGAAUGCAGAGAGAAGAAUUAGAGGUGGAGCUGCAGAAAGUCAGGCAACAAAUGUCAGCUGUACCAUCCUCUGGGGAAGCAGGGAGUUCUGUGGAAGAUAAAAGGAUUGAUUUGACUGACUCAUUCAGACACUCAAGAAAUGUACAUAAUGACAAUGAACUUGAUGAGCAGCAGGGGAAUAAUCACCAAAGCAUCGAGCUUCCUGAUAAAAGGGUUACAAAAAUCUCAAGGUCAAAAACUGAGCUUGACAUGCACUGUACACAGCAACCCAUGUCUAAUGAAGAUCCCAGAGUGCAACAUCUUAUGGAAAAACUGAAAAGAAAGCAAGCUGCAAUUCGGAAGGCGCGCAACUACAAAAAUCCCUCACCAGACUAUAGCUGGGUCAACAGCUUGGGGUAG